rnacentral:rRNA from 1 species
UACGAAGGUGGCAAGCGUUGUUCGGAUUUACUGGGCGUACAGGGAGCGUAGGCGGUUGGGUAAGCCCUCCGUGAAAUCUCCGGGCCUAACCCGGAAAGGGCGGAGGGGACUGCUCGGCUAGAGGAUGGGAGAGGAGCGCGGAAUUCCCGGUGUAGCGGUGAAAUGAGUAGAGAUCGGGAGGAAGGCCGGUGGCGAAGGCGGCGCUCUGGAACAUUUCUGACGCUGAGGCUCGAAAGCGUGGGGGAGCAAACAGG